rnacentral:rRNA from 1 species
GAAACUGCUUAGAGGUAAACGGGUGGGCCCUCGAAAUCCUGUGUCGGAAGGAUUCAGUAGAUUGAUUGUUCGGUGACUUGUAGCUUUAUGAGAAUGGUAUCCGGGAUCGGACCUCUGCGAGUCACUUAGGACAUUUCAUUUACGCAUUUCUUUUCCGACCGAAGGACGCCGCAACCGGUUGGCGGGACUGUUUUAAGGAUGUUCAACGGCAGGUGGCCGGAGUAAAAAGUUUCUUUUCAUUCCGGUUGUUAGCCAGAGUGUCUGAAUAGUACCCCGACCGAGGUGUCGCGAGGCCUUUUUGGGCCUCUCCGUCUCCUCCCAGUGUUGCGAGCAAGCGCAUGCAGGUGAAGCGUCGUUUCUCCUGGCGCGCACCGGUUCACCGGUGGCGUCUGAGUGCGUCGUCCCCGUUGGUUGCGUAGGCUCGUUUGGGAGGCCGACGGUUAGCGGCGAGUAGAUCGGUCACCCGCCC